rnacentral:rRNA from 1 species
CCUACGGGAGGCAGCAGUGGGGAAUAUUGCGCAAUGGGCGAAAGCCUGACGCAGCGACGCCGCGUGAGGGAUGAAGGUCUUCUGAUCGUAAACCUCUGUCAGCAGGGGAGAACGGUCACUGUGCUAAUCCGCAGUGAAUUUACGGUACCUGCAAAGCACGCACCGGCUCACUCCGUGCCAGCCGCCGCGGUAAUACGGAGGGUGCAAGCGUUAUCCGGAUUUACUUGGUGGAAGGGUGGCGCAGGCGGCAAUUCAAGCCAGAAGUGAAAGCCCGGGGCCCAACCACGGAACUGUUGUUGAAACUGAAUGGCUGGAGUACAGGAGGGGCAGGCGGAAUGCGUGGUGUAGCGGUGAAAUGCGUAGAUAUUAGGAGGAACACCGGUGGCGAAGGCAGCCUGCUGGGCUGUGACUGACGUUGAGGCACGAAGGCGUGGGGAGCAAACAGGAUUAGAUACCCCUGUAGUC